CGUCUUUUCAGAGACGACCAACUCUUCAGGAAGUCAGCAAAUCACUCAGGGACGCCACAACACGCCUGACUUCUGAUCUUUCUAAGAUUUCUGACUGGACCAGAGAAAACUUGUGGUGCUGUUGGUGGAGUCACCUUCCGUCAGCUGGCCAAUGGCAGAGCGCAGUGAGGGGAAGGGGCGGUGUCUCCUUAAGUCAGCCGGCCAAUAGGAGAUCAGAAUGAGGGAAGGGUUGUCACGUGACUAGUGACCGGGACACGCUAUUGGUCGGCUGCUCUCCUUGGCGGGGGAGAGUGAGGCCUUUCCUGGGAGAUGAUUGGUUAGGAGAGGAGAGAGCGCCGGUCCGCCAGCCAGUCACACCACAGCCACCUGACUUACUCACCACAGCCUUCACAGACACAUGCUGAGCCUCGCUGCCCUCAGUCACGCCACCGCCGCCAUUCUUGAUCAGCCAGGUCUCCACCUCGUGGCGGCCAUGAUGCACGGCCAGGGCCAGCGGGGUGAGACCAGACUUGUCCUGCACGCGCGGGUCAACACCUCGCCGCACCAGCCACCGCACAGCUGAUACGUGUCCUCUCCAGGCAGCACAGUGCAGGGGUGUCCAGCCACCACUGUCCCUGGCGGUGAGGGGCCAGCCAGCCCCCGCCAGCUGCUCCAGUACCUGCACCUGGCCAUGGUAACUGGCGAGGUGCACCGGUGUGGCUCCCUCCAGGUGUGUGGCAGUGGCGGGGGUGACGGGCAGGAGGGCAGCCACACACUCCUGCCAGCCCCAACAUGCAGCAAAGUGAAGGGCUGUCCAUCCUGUGUGUGUGUGUGUGUGUGUGUGUGUGUGUGUGUGUGUGUGUGUGUGUGUGUGUGUGUGUGUGUGUGUGUGUGAGGAGAAUUUGAGUAAUAUAUUUAUUUUAUUUUUAUCCUAAUUUUAAUAUUUCUUUUAGUUCUUAUGUUACCAUCAUUGUCGAUAUCAUCAUUGUAUUAAUUAUUAUUGAUAAGAAAUAUAAUAAUGAAAAUGAUAAAUAUAA